ACACUUUUUCAAGUAUUUCUCUUGUAAUUUGGAGAAAGAAGUCAGUGGGAAGACUUUUACUGAAUGAAAGUUAUUGUAUUUUUUUAACAAUUUAUUCUUUGCUUCGUUAUUGAAAAAAAAAUUCUUCACACUGAAAUAGUUAUACUUUUUAAGUUACACGAACACAUAUAUGUAUAUAAUAACUUAAGUGAAUAAAAAAAUUAAAUAAAUAAGGCAAAAAUUUGAUAAAAUGAUAAAAUUUAUAAUUCGUAAAUUAACACUUUAUUUUUUUCAACCAUCUCCACGUCUGGAUAUCAUUGAUUACAGUGAAAAUAUUUUUUAAUAUCAAUUUAUGAUAUAACGUUAGUAAUGCUAUUUUCUAAUGAUUUUAAUUAAUAAUUUAUAGCAUAUAUCAUAAUUUCAGUUUUAUUUGAAAUACAUUUUUGCGGGGGGAAAAAAAGAAGAUUUUGACUCUUUUAAUAUUUAUUUAAAUGAUUUUUACAUUAAAUGUAGUGUACAAUUAUAAAUUUGGUUGGAAUUUGAUAGCGGAAGUGAUGUGUUUUUUUCCCUUUUUUCUCCAGGAUCCCAAAAAAUUUUUUUUCCCUUUUGGCAACUUUGAGUCAACAUCAUUAGAAAUCUAUUAACUUAAAUAUUGAAAUAUAUAUUUAACGACACUAAAUGGCAAAUGUGACAUAUUUAUAAAUAAUUCUUUGUUUUGAAACUUGAAUAUUUUGGUUAUAUUUAUUUUGAUGUUUUUAUUGACAAAUAAGAUUCGUAAAUAUAUUAAAAGAGUUACUUUAAAAGUCAAACAAGCAAUUUAAAAUUGAUUCAAUGGAUUUAUACUAAAAUAAUAAAAUUAUUGAGUAUUGACGUUAAAACAAAAAUUGAUAUUAAAUUAUUAGAAAUAAAAACAAAACAUUUUUGCUAUUUUGGACACGAAAUAUAAUUUAAUUUUUAAAAUUUUUUUAUUUUAUUUAUAGUUUUGUGUGUAUCUUUUGAAUAGAAAAAUCUUUAGAUCUAAGGAGUGUCUCUAUAUUUUGUUACAUUUUUACUUUAACGCAUUAAAAUUAUUUCAUUUAAAUUUGUUUAACCCGUGUUUCCUGUUUAAUUAAAACAGUAUUCUAUAAAUGUAACAGCAUAGUUCUUAUGUAUUUGUGGUAAUAUAAUUUGAAAUUAAAACACAUCUGAAGAUAAUUUCGUUUAUUAAUCUAGUUUUAUUUAUUAAUUUGUUGAGUAAUAUAUUAACUGUGAUCAUUUACCGCAAAUUCCUUAUAAUACAUGCAAUAGUUUGCUAUUUUAUACAUACUUAAUUUAACACUUUAUAGUUUUAAUUUUUUUUUACUUUUUUUAUUCGGAUUUAUUGUUGCCUGGCCUGCACAAAUAUAGGGCGGGCGUCCACGAUAAAUUGGAACUAUCUUAAAAUUCAACCUGCUUGAUAAAAAUGGAAUUUGGAGUGUAUUUGUUAAUAUGAAAAACAGCCACCAUCUUCUCCAUCCUGCCCCUAAGGAUUUGCAUGCCCUGAUGACUUCCGCGGAAUCAACAGCAUUCCACUCCCUCGUAAUGGAACCCGGGAACUAUGUGGUGAAGACUGCACCUUGGCAAGCCACCUGUCAUUCUGGACGUUGAAGCUUCUGUCGAAAUUUAGUUUAGAAUUAAUUUUAAUUUAGAAAAGGAGUAAAUACUGCCUAUAUACUUGAUUGAUAUAAAAUGUUUAUUUACAUACUCUCAUAGCUACUCCCAUCUAAUCUAAAACCCGUCAAGAACUGUUCUUCUAAAAUAUUCUUAUACUUGUCAGGGUUACUAAGUCCUUUUUCGAGUUUUUUUCUUCGGUAUAACAACAGGUUAUAUUUUCUACAACCUUAUCUAUAAUGUCUCAUAGACUUUCCCCAAAAAAAUAAAAUGAAGGUUGGCCAGCUACGUCAUUCUUCCACACUGGUAAACCACUCUACAUUGGAUAGUAGAAAUACGUAAACUGCUUAAAAGCAUGCUCACAUAACAACCAACUUAGAUCAAUUUUUACAUCGAGCCUCUAUUUUUUCAUUUUGUUUAACAACUACAAAAGACUCGACGUAUAAGUCUACACUACACUUCAGUGUAAACCUACAUUUGCCGUUCUUUGAACACCCAUAUAACAAAUUGAGUUUUUGUAAAUAACAUUAAUGCGGGCAAAAAGAUCAAAGACCAGAAAAAAACAUGACUUUCUUUAUAUUGAAUAAAAAGAAAAAUGACUAUAUAUAUAAGUAUAUUAUAAAUAUGUAUAUGGACUAAAAUUUGAUAUAAACAUGGUCCAGAAUUGUAAUUUACGGAACAAUUCUGAUUUUAGCUCAUUAGCCUCAAAAAUUGGAAAUCCAUUUAUUAUUUUUCAAAAAUAGGCCGUAUGUUUUUUUAUCGAUGUGAAAGAUAGGUACUUCUGCAUUCAAAUUAGUUUAUUAGAUAAAAAAUUCAGUUGUUACAUUUGGUUAUUUUGUUUUUACAAUAAUAAAUCUGCUGUUACCUUAUUAAGAUGUUUGAUAAUAUCAGUUAUAAGAAAACCUC
rnacentral:lncRNA from 1 species